GGUAGCGGGCGUCGGGGGGCUCCGGCGACGGGCCCCCUGAGGAAGCUCCACCAGGUAGCGGGGGCCGUGGCGGCGUAAGCCGCCGGGGGAAAUCUCCGGGAUAGGGUACAGAAACGAGACCCCUCCCACUGGAUGUGGAUGAGGUGGGAUGGACCGCGGUAACGCGGUCCUAACCACUGACAAUGGUGGGAGGAGGGUGAGACGACCAGCCCACGGCAAAAGGGCCAAAUAGGGGCCGAUGAGGUCCCCGCACGAAGGCCCGGGUGGGCCCUGAGACUAAUCCCGCAAGACAGAAGGUGGGCUACUACC
rnacentral:RNase_P_RNA from 1 species